UGGGGAAUAUUGGGCAAUGGGCGAAGCCUUACCCAGCAACGCCGCGUGAGGGAAGAAGGUUUUCGGAUUGUAAACCUCUGUCCUGGGGGACGAAGGAAGUGACGGUACCCCGGGAGGAAGCCCCGGCUAACUACGUGCC
rnacentral:rRNA from 1 species